rnacentral:ncRNA from 1 species
AUGGCCGUUCUUAGUUGGUGGAGCGAUUUGUCUGGUUAAUUCCGAUAACGAACGAGACUUUAACCUGCUAAAUAGUAGACUGGUCCUCUGUGCUCGUUUAGGGCGCAGCUUCUAUUGCUUCUUUAUGGAGUAGUGUGGUCGUGAUCCGGCGGGUGCGGUGCCAGUUUUUACUUCUUAGAGGGACAAGCGGCACACUUAAUUGGUUUUUUGUUAGCAAAACAUAGUGAAUGGGAAAACGAUACAAUUUAGUGA